rnacentral:rRNA from 1 species
CCCCUAGAUGUUCUGGGCCGCACGCGCGCUACACUGAACAGUUCAACAAGUCUUAACCUUGGCCGAUAGGUCUGGGUAAUCUUUGAACGCUGUUCGUGAUUGGGAUAGACCUUUGCAAUUAUGGGUCUUCAACGAGGAAUUCCUAGUAAACGCAAGUCAUCAGCUUGCAUUGAUUACGUCCCUGCCCUUUGUACACACCGCCCGUCGCACCUACCGAUUGAAUGGUCCGGUGAAAUCUCGGGACGGCGGCUUGGUCGCUUGCGUCCGACUGCUGAAACUUGAUUAAACCAUAUCAUUUAGAGGGAGGUGAAGUCGUAACA